UACGGAGGGUGCAAGCGUUAAUCGGAAUUACUGGGCGUAAAGCGCACGCAGGUGGCUGAGUCAGUCGAUUGUGAAAGCCCUGGGCUUAACCUGGGAAUUGCAGUCGAUACUACUCAGCUAGAGUAUGGGAGAGGGUAGUGGAAUUCCCGGUGUAGCGGUGAAAUGCGUAGAUAUUGGGAGGAACACCAGUGGCGAAGGCGGUCCCCUGGGCCGGCAUUGACGCUGAGGAGCGAAAGCCAGGGGAGCAAACGGG
rnacentral:rRNA from 1 species